AUUGAACGCUGGCGGCAGGCCUAACACAUGCAAGUCGAACGAGUGGCGGACGGGUGUGUAAUGUCUGGGAAACUGCCUGAUGGAGGGGGAUAACUACUGGAAACGGUAGCUAAUACCGCAUACCAUCGGAUGUGCCCAGAUGGGAUUAGCUAGUAGGUGGGGUAACGGCUCACCUGGGCGACGGUCACGAGCUGGUCUGAGAGGAUGACCAGCCACACUGGAACUGAGACACGGUCCAGACUCCUACGGAAGGCAGCAUGGGGGAAUAUUGCACAAUGAGCGAAAGCCUGAUGCAGCCAGGCCGCGUGUAGGAGGAAGGCCUUCGGGUUGUAAAGUACUUUCAGCGAGGAGGCGUUACCCGCAGAAGAAGCACCGGCUAACUCCGUGCCAGCAGCCGCGGUAAUUC
rnacentral:rRNA from 1 species